rnacentral:tRNA from 1 species
GCGGGGGUGGUGGAAUUGGUAGACACGCUACCUUGAGGUGGUAGUGCUUAACAGCGUGGGGGUUCAAGUCCCCCCUUCCGCACCA